rnacentral:rRNA from 1 species
UACGGAGGGAGCUAGCGUUAUUCGGAAUUACUGGGCGUAAAGCGCACGUAGGCGGCUUUGUAAGUAAGAGGUGAAAGCCUGGUGCUCAACACCAGAACUGCCUUUUAGACUGCAUCGCUUGAAUCCAGGAGAGGUGAGUGGAAUUCCGAGUGUAGAGGUGAAAUUCGUAGAUAUUCGGAAGAACACCAGUGGCGAAGGCGACGAACUGGAUAGCAACUGACACUCAACUGCGAAAGCGUGGGGAGCAAACAGGAUUAGAAACCCCACGUAGU